rnacentral:rRNA from 1 species
UCGAGAAUCUUUCGCAAUGCCCGAAAGGGUGACGAAGCGACCCCGCGUGUGGGAAGAAGGCCUUCGGGUUGUAAACCACUGUCGGGAGUUAGGAAAUGCAGGUGCGUUAAUAGCGCACUUGCUUGACUAAGGCUCCAGAGGAAGCCACGGCUAACUCUGUGCCAGCAGCCGCGGUAAUACAGAGGCGGCAAGCGUUGUUCGGAAUUAUUGGGCGUAAAGAGCACGUAGGCGGCCUUGCAAGUCAGUUGUGAAAGCCUUCCGCUUAACGGAAGAACGGCAUCUGAUACUACAGGGCUUGAGUACGGGAGGGGAGAGUGGAACUUCUGGUGGAGCGGUGAAAUGCGUAGAUAUCAGAAGGAACGCCGGCGGCGAAAGCGACUCUCUGGUCCGAAACUGACGCUGAGUGUGCGAAAGCUAGGGGAGCAAACGGGAUUAGAUACCCCGGUAGUCCUAGCCGUAAACGAUGGGCACUAAGUAGAGGGGUUUUGAUUAUUUCUCUGCCGGAGCUAACGCAUUAAGUGCCCCGCCUGGGGAGUACGGCCGCAAGGCUAAAACUCAAAAGAAUUGACGGGGGCUCGCACAAGCGGUGGAGCAUGUGGCUUAAUUCGAUGCAACGCGAAGAACCUUACCGGGGCUUGACAUGGUAGAAGUAGAAUCCUGAAAGGGUGACGAUCGGUAUCCAGUCCGAAGCUAUCACAGGUGUUGCAUGGCUGUCGUCAGCUCGUGUCGUGAGACGUUGGGUUAAGUCCCCUAACGAGCGAAACCCUUGUCUUUAGUUGCUAACGGGUAAUGCUGAGCACUUUAGAGAGACUGCCGUCGUUAAGACGGAGGAAGGUGGGGACGACGUCAAGUCAUCAUGGCCCUUAUGUCCCGGGCUGCACACGUGCUACAAUGGUCGGUACAAAGGGAUGCUAAGUCGCGAGAUGGUGCGAAACCUAUAAAGCCGAUCUCAGUUCAGAUUGGAGGCUGAAACUCGCCUCCAUGAAGUUGGAAUCGCUAGUAAUCGCGGAUCAGCUACGCCGCGGUGAAUAUGUUCCCGAGCCUU